UAGGGAAUAUUGCACAAUGGGCGAAAGCCUGAUGCAGCAACGCCGCGUGCGCGAUGAAGGCCUUCGGGUCGUAAAGCGCUUUUCGGGGNGAUGAGGAAGGACAGUAUCCCCGGAACUAAGGCUCGGCUAACUACGUGCCAGCAGCCGCGGUAACACGUAGGAGCCAAGCGUUAUCCGAAUUCACUGGGCGUAAAGCGCGUGCAGGCGGCUCGAUAGGUUGGAUGUGAAAGCUCCCGGCUCAACUGGGAGAGGACGUUCAAUACUGUCGGGCUAGAGGACGGCAGAGGAAGGUGGAAUUCCCGGUGUAGUGGUGAAAUGCGUAGAUAUCGGGAGGAACACCAGGUGGCGAAGGCGGCCUUCGUGGGCCGAACCUGACGCUCAGACGCGAAAGCUAGGGGAGCG
rnacentral:rRNA from 1 species